GAUGAACGCUGGCGGCGUGCCUAAUACAUGCAAGUCGAGCGAAUGGAUUAAGAGCUUGCUCUUAUGAAGUUAGCGGCGGACGGGUGAGUAACACGUGGGUAACCUGCCCAUAAGACUGGGAUAACUCCGGGAAACCGGGGCUAAUACCGGAUAACAUUUUGAACCGCAUGGUUCGAAAUUGAAAGGCGGCUUCGGCUGUCACUUAUGGAUGGACCCGCGUCGCAUUAGCUAGUUGGUGAGGUAACGGCUCACCAAGGCAACGAUGCGUAGACGACCUGAGAGGGUGAUCGGCCACACUGGGACGGGGACACGGCCCAGACUCCUACGGGAGGAAGCAGUAGGGAAUCUGCCGCAAUGGACGAAAGUCUGACGGAGCAACGCCGCGUGAGUGAUGAAGGCUUUCGGGUCGUAAAACUCUGUUGUUAGGGAAGAACAAGUGCUAGUUGAAUAAGCUGGCACCUUGACGGUACCUAACCAGAAAGCCACGGCUAACUACGUGCCAGCCGCCGCAGUAA
rnacentral:rRNA from 1 species